rfam:Vigna angularis cultivar Jingnong 6 chromosome 3, whole genome shotgun sequence.
UUGGAAGUUGCAACUUGCUGACUUGCCCACUCCAAGUCGAGAGUUAAGCCAUGAGUCCUUUGCGAAGGCAUGUGUUUCUUGGUUCCUAGACAUAAGGGCACCGCGUGAGGGUGGUUUCACAUAGCAGCGACAACCUCCGGUUCUUGACAGUGGAGGGAUAACAGGCUCCUGCACCUCUAG